AGCUUGCUCCUGAAUUCAGCGGCGGACGGGUGAGUAAUGCCUAGGAAUCUGCCUGGUAGUGGGGGACAACGUUUCGAAAGGAACGCUAAUACCGCAUACGUCCUACGGGAGAAAGCAGGGGACCUUCGGGCCUUGCGCUAUCAGAUGAGCCUAGGUCGGAUUAGCUAGUUGGUGAGGUAAUGGCUCACCAAGGCGACGAUCCGUAACUGGUCUGAGAGGAUGAUCAGUCACACUGGAACUGAGACACGGUCCAGACUCCUACGGGAGGCAGCAGUGGGGAAUAUUGGACAAUGGGCGAAAGCCUGAUCCAGCCAUGCCGCGUGUGUGAAGAAGGUCUUCGGAUUGUAAAGCACUUUAAGUUGGGAGGAAGGGUUGUAGAUUAAUACUCUGCAAUUUUGACGUUACCGACAGAAUAAGCACCGGCUAACUCUGUGCCAGCAGCCGCGGUAAUACAGAGGGUGCAAGCGUUAAUCGGAAUUACUGGGCGUAAAGCGCGCGUAGGUGGUUCGUUAAGUUGGAUGUGAAAUCCCCGGGCUCAAC
rnacentral:rRNA from 4 species